UUCUCCGAAGCCAUUUUGGACUCAGUUCAGUUUCAUGUAUGUCAGAAUCGGACCCUGUCUAGCCAUACUCACGGUGCACUGAGGAAAGAAGCAUUGCGGAGAGGCUUUGCGCGGAAAUCACCGGGCGACCCGUGUUAUUUGACGCUGAAUUCAGUGGAGGGCGUUUCAGUGGAAUAUUGGCGCUUUCCAAUGGAUUUGUCCGUGUGUUAAAGUUUCAUUCAGCCCGAGCGGUGGGGUGGACGGACGGACGUCUGGCCGACGGUCACUCGGGCUCGUUGUGUGCGUGUGUGAGUGAGUGUGUGUGUGCGCGUGUGUGUUCCCCUUAUCUUUUUAAAUGUUUGCAAAGCAGAAGACACUGGAAAGGAGCAAAUCUGGGGUGUUUUUGGAUCACUAGAGGAAUAUGUUCGCUCCCUGGCUGACUUUUGCACUUCUUCUGGGAACUUUCUGUGCAGACCCCAGCCAUGGAGAGGUGGAGACACAGGAAUGCUUGUACUUCAACAUCAACUGGGAGAUCGAAAAGACGAACCGCAGCGGCGUGGAGCGAUGUGAAGGCGAGAAGGACAAACGCUCACACUGCUACGCCUCCUGGAGGAAUAACUCGGGCAGUAUCGAGCUCGUGAAGAAGGGAUGCUGGUUAGAUGACUUCAACUGUUAUGACAGACAAGAGUGUGUGGCCACAGAGGAGAACCCUCAGGUCUUCUUCUGCUGCUGUGAAGGAAACUUCUGCAACGAGAGAUUCACACACCUGCCCGACGUCAACGGACCAGAAAUCAAGCCUCCUCCUCUGACGCCCUCUCUGUUGAACGUGCUGGUUUACUCGUUGUUGCCCAUCAGUAUGUUGACCAUGGCGCUGCUGCUGGCGUUCUGGAUGUACCGUCAUCGCAAACCGCCGUAUGGACACGUGGACAUCAACGAGGACCCUGGUCCGGUGCCCCCGUCACCGCUGGUGGGACUCAAACCGCUGCAGUUACUGGAGAUUAAAGCUCGAGGGCGCUUCGGCUGCGUUUGGAGAGCACAGAUGAUCAAUGAAUAUGUAGCCGUGAAGGUUUUCCCCAUUCAGGACAAGCAGUCGUGGCAGAACGAGCGAGACAUGUUCUUGACGCCGGGCAUGAAGCACGAUAGCCUCCUGCGCUACAUCGCCGCUGAGAAGCGCGGGACUAACCUGGAGAUGGAGUUCUGGCUCAUCACGGAGUUUCAUGAGAGGGGUUCGCUGACGGAUUAUCUGAAGGGGAACGCCGUGAGCUGGAGUGAACUGUGUCACAUCGCAGAGACGAUGGCGUGCGGUCUGGCGUACCUUCACGAGGACGUGCCUCGAUUUAAAGGGGAAGGACCGAAACCAGCGAUCGCUCACCGAGACUUCAAGAGUAAAAACGUGAUGUUGAAGACGGAUCUCACAGCUGUGAUUGGUGAUUUUGGGUUGGCGGUCCAGUUUGAGCCGGGUAAACCUCCUGGAGAUACGCACGGUCAGGUUGGCACGUGGCGUUACAUGGCACCGGAGGUGUUGGAGGGGGCGAUUAACUUCCAGCGAGACGCGUUCUUGCGGAUAGACAUGUACGCUAUGGGUCUGGUGCUCUGGGAGCUUGUGUCCCGCUGCAAAGCCUCCGAUGGUCCUGUAGACGAGUACAUGCUUCCGUUUGAGGAGGAGAUCGGACAGCAUCCCUCACUGGAGGAUCUGCAGGAUGUGGUGGUCCAUAAGAAGUUGCGGCCGGUGUUUAAAGACUGCUGGCUCAAGCAUUCUGGUCUGGCGCAGAUGUGUGAGACGAUAGAGGAAUGCUGGGAUCACGACGCUGAGGCGCGACUGUCGGCCGGUUGCGUGGAGGAACGAAUCUCUCAGAUCCGCCGCCUGAUCAGCGCCACUACCUCAGACUGCCUGGUUUCCAUGGUGACGUCCGUCACGAACGUGGACCUGCCGCCCAAAGAGUCCAGUAUCUGAGUCACGACGCAACGCUCGACGUGGAGUGAAACGAACACGAAUCAAACCCUCGUCUUUCCAGACUCCGAAUCUCAAGCAUCAUGAAAGCAGCUGCUAUUUUAUCCUAACAUUUUUUUUACUUUAUUAUUAUUAUUAUUAUUUUUCUUAUCGGAUCAAAACUACCAGCACACUUCUCUACUGUAUUUUUAUCAUUAGAGCAAAUGCAGAGAUUUUAAAACGAUAAGAGGACGUCUCGACGCGCAUUCAGGUACCGACGUAUGAAUGCUGACAUGUGCAGGUACCUCCACAUUUUAACGGUUUUCCUUUUCCUUGGAUUUUUCACGCUCUCUUUAUUCGCAUCGAUCUGAUGGAUCAUCAUCGUUUCAUGUCGGAUAUUUCAACAGUGCUGCAAAACCUGUGAGAAUCAUUACGACUGUUACACGCGCAAUUGAACUUCCUUGCAGGAUCUCACGCUUUAUUUCUCCACCAGUGCGUGCUAUUCAAAAUCACGGAAAACGUGUCUUUUACGGAACUAACGGGUGUCAAAAGAACACGGAAAAGACAACUGGACUAUUUCUUUCUUUUGUUUGUUUGUUGUUGUUGUUUUUGUUUUUUGUGGUAUUGAAGUUGGUGACUGUGAAAAGAGUUUGUUUGGGAAUUUUCUGGGUGAAAUCUCAGCAGUGGCUUGCAUAUGGAAAUAUCAUGAGAGCAUUUAGUUUAGUUCGGUAAUGUUUCUCAGGUAUCCAGUGUCACGGGGUUUUGGGGUCCAUGACUGCCUUCCCACAUCACAACAGGACAGAAAUAUAACGGUGCCCUCAUGAAUUUAACACUAAUUAUCAAAACAUGCAAGAUCAUGAUGCGAGUGUGUGUGUGUGUGUGUGUGUGUGUGUGUGUGUGUGUUCAGUGCUGAGAGGUGUGUGUGUGAGAGUGUGUGUGUGUGUGUGUGUGUGUGUGUGUGUAUGUAUUUAUCACUUUGUGGGGACCAAAUGUCCCCAUAAGGAUAGUAAAACCCAAAUGUUUGACCUUGUGGGGACAUUUUGUCAGUCCCCAUGAGGAAAACAGCUUAUAAAUCAUACUAAAUUAUGUUUUAUUGAAAAUGUAAAAAUGCAGAAAGUUUUCUGUGAGGGUUAGGUUUAGGGGUAGGGUUAGGUUUAGGGGAUAGAAUAUAAAGUUUGUACAGUAUAAAAACCAUUAUGUCUAUGGAAAGUCCCCAUAAAACAUGGAAACACAACGUGUGUGUGUGUGUGUGUGUGUGUGUGUUCAGUGCUGAAAGGUGUGUGUGUGUGUGUUCAGUGCUGAGAGGUGUGUGUGUGUGUUCAGUGCUGAGAGGUGUGUGUGUGUGUGUGUGUGUGUGUGUUCAGUGCUGAGAGGUGUGAGGUGUGAGGGUGUGUGUGUGUGUGUGUGUGUGUGUGUGUGUUCAGUGCUGAGAGGUGUGUGUGUGUGUGUUCAGUGCUGUGAGUGUGUGUGUGUGUGUGUGUUCAGUGCUGAGAGGUGUGUGUGUUCAGUGCUCAGAGGUGUGUGUGUGUGUGUGUGUGUGUUCAGUGCUGAGAGGUGUGUGUGUGUGUGUGUGUUCAGUGCUCAGAGGUGUGUGUGUGUGUGUGUGUGUGUGUGUUCAGUGCUGAGUGUGUGUGUGUGUGUGUGUUCAGUGCUGAGUGUGAUUUGAAAAAGUAGAUAAAGACCAUAAAAGGGUUUGGCGCGUAUGGCCGUCUAAACAAAAGUGUUUUUCUGUCUUUUAUAAUAAUGCAACGUGUGUUUUUGAUAUCUUGAGUUUGGAUCAAAGUCCUGACUCUGAUAGAAUGAGGGUGAAAGUCACAGAAACAUGUGCGGGUCACAUUUCACUCCAGGAUCAAAAGAAAGUCUGUUUGUGACAUGAUUUUCAUGACAGAUGAACACAUUUGCCACCCCCAAAUUAUUCCCGUAAUGCGUCCAGGCGUUCAACUUUCUUUUUUUUUGUUUGUGAUUUGAUUUUCAUUAUAUGAUUAAUGUAACAGUCAUUUCCUUUUUUACUUAAAUCUGAAUAAAUGAAAGGCAAGUGUAAAUACCAUGAUCUCAUUCAUGGACUGAUAUUAAUGGGGGUUUUUAAGGAAACAAUUGCCUCUGAAAGUGACAAAAUUGCACCCUAUUUCAAAAUAUAGGGGCAAAAAAAUGCCCCAAAAUAUAUUCCCUCUUUUAUUCGUAGCGUCACAUAAAUGUCCUAUUAUUUUAUUCGAAGCCUUUGAGAUAUUAUCAGGAAAUAUGAGCUGAUUUAAAUGGAUAAUUAAGGUGGAAUUAGUUUUAAUAAAUCAGAUCCCAGAGGCAAAUAUCCCCCUAUAUUAUAUUAAUAAAAGUUCAUAUUUUUAUAUAAAAAUACUUGUAAAUAUUUUUCACAUUACAGUCAUCUCGUAUUUCUUUCUGUUGAUUUUGGGGUGAAAAUGAACCUGUGCAUGUUCUUGAUUCACACAGGAAGUGUUUGUGUGUGUUUUGUCGGGUCCCGUCAUGUAUUAACUCUAACAGGGACCAAAUCUGAGAUCUGACCUCCCAGCGAUUAUCAUGGGGUGGGUCAGGUGAUGUUCAACUCAUUUAGCAAAGAAAAAGAGUCAAAAACACACAUGAAUUGUAUUCAUUUUGUCUUAAAAGUGGUAGACGGGAAUCCACAUUUCCAUAUGCCAUAAUAUAACAGUGAAUUUCCACAGUACUGCUGCUCGCGUGAAAGACGUGAAAUAUUCUGUAUCUUCUCAGUAAAACUCAUCCUCAGAUGCAACCUCGCGUCAACAGAAAUUUAAAGGCUUCCGAGAUGAAAUAGCGCAACUCGAAACAAUAAAAUGAUGUGAAAGGACAAUAAAAAAAGGCGAAAUAUAUUGUUCAUGAACCACAGAUCACCUCAAACCAGAAAUACCUCAGAUUUUCUACGUGUUUGACUUCUGUUAUAUAUUUUGUUAGUUGUGUUGACUUGUAGUAAGUAUAUUUUGAUGUAAGUUGGCUUUUAUGAUUAAGGAAGACGUUUUGGAGAAGUAAACAAAAAAAAUGUCAUAAAAAACUACAAAAAAUAAUCAAAUCUUUUAAGAAGUGCUAGCGAGUUCUGUUGUAUAGAUGCGAGAACCCUUGAUGUAAAUAGCUGUAUACAGUUGUCGAAUUGUGCCGAUCUGUGUGUCCCAGGGCAUUAUUCUUCAUUUGUGCUGAACUUUCUUCCUAUGAGCUACUGUCUGUUCCUUCACGUGACAUUGAACCUCAAACGUUUGGCGCUUCUCCCAAAAUUUCAAACAUAUUGUCCCAUUUUAACUUGCACAAUUUUUUACGCAAUCCUCUAAUUGGGGGGACCAAAUUGAACUCAAAAGAAUAUUUAUGAAUUUACUGUGAAUUUGAGCAGAGAUAUCGGCACACUUGCCAAAUUUGCCCGGUUCAGUGUCGAUGCAAAUUCACGCUCCGUGUUUCAAAGAUGUUCAAGUGGAGCUUUUAUUUCAGGGCCAACUGACGGUUUGGUGUCCCGCUUUCUGUCUGUCCCGUUUCAGUCUCUGCUCUCUGUACUCAUGAUUCACUGCAGCGGUUGCUUCUAUUUCCUGUCAAACUCAGCUUUAAUUUUUUAUUACGGUGCCAUAUAUCAUGUUCCUGGACUGAAAUAUUAGCAUUUAUCGGAAGGUGAUCUGCUCAGUGUUCUCAAACUGUCUUUGCUCUCAUUGCACGUGUGCGCUUGCAUUUGUUUGUUGUUUAGUGAGUUUUGGUUAAAAAUACAGUGACCCCUAAAAGUACAGCCUUUCAUUCAAUGGCAGGUGCAUGCACUGACUGCCUGCGUGCACCUUAGUUUUUCUAGACAUGCAGACAGUCCGCGUCAUUGUGCGCCGUUGGCACAGAUUUUCUGUGUGCUGUUCCGUCUCAUAAACACUUAACCGCGAGCGUGCAUGAAUGCACUCGAUGCAUGCACAAUGCAACUGCUUUGUGAUACUCUAUUAGCACAACAAGUGCAUGCAACGACAAAGCGCAAAGAUGCGGACAGUCCGCGUGCAACCUAGUUUUUCUAGACACGCAGACAGUCAGAGUCUUUGCGCCGACAGCGCAUGCGCCUGCUGUUCGUUGAUGCAUUCAAUGCAUGCACACUGCAACUGCUUUGUGAUACAUUAUUAGCACAUCAGGUGCAUGCAACGACGAAGCGCAAAGAUGUGGCCGCUCCAUGUGCAGCCUGGUUUUUCUAGACACGCAGACAGUUUGUGCCUUUGCGCGCUGUUGGCGCAUACGCCUGCUGUUGACUGUGCCAAAACGGUAAAGGUAAGAGGAUACUUUGUUUUCUCUGUGCUGUUACGUCUCAUUAACUCUCUUAACCGCGAGCAUGCAUUUACAUUACGUUUACAUUUAUGCAUUUGGCAGACGCUUUUAUCCAAAGCGACUUACAGAGCACUUUACAGGGAGCAACCUGGAGUUAAGUGCCUUGCUCAAGGACACAAUGGUGGUGGCUGUGGGGUUCAAACCAGUGUACUUCUGAUUAACAGUUUACCAGUUAUGUGCUUAGACCACUACACCACCACUACAUCCAUGCAUUGAGCAUGCAUGGAUGUGCUCGAUGCAUGCUCAAUGCAACUGCUUUAUGAUACUCUAUUAGCACACCAGGCGCAUGUGACGACGAAGCGCAAAGAUGUGGACAGUCCACAUGCAGCCUAGUUUUUCUAGACAUGCAGACAGUCUGCAUCUUUGUGUGCAUGCAUAGUACGCAAGGACUCAUGCACCUGUCGUUAACUGUUCAAAAAGAGUCAAGUUUAGGGUAUACUUCAUUUUCCUGUGUGCUGUUCCAUCUCGUAUACUCUUUUUACAGUGAGCGUGUGCAUGCAUUCGACGCAUGCGCACUGCAACUGUUUUGUGAUGCUCUAUUAGCACACAAGGCGCAUGUGACGACAAAGCGCAAAAAUGCGGACAGUCCACGUGCAGCCAUGUUUUUCUAGACAUGCAGACAGUCCGCAUCUUUGCGCGGCAUCGGUGCAUGCGCCCGCCAUUUGACUGAUCCAAAAGAGUAAAGGUUAGCGUACACUUUGUUGAUGCGUCGUUAGACGCAUGCACACUGCAACUGCUUUGUGCUGCUCUAUUAGCAAACCAGGCGCAUGCGAUGACAAAGUGCAAAGAUGCUGUUGACUGUUCAAAAGAGUUAAGAUUAGGGUAUACUUCGUUUUCUUGUUUGCUGGUCCGUCUUGUAUACUCUUUUAACCGCAAGCAUGUGUGGACGCGCUCGACGCAUGCACACUGUAACUUUGGUGAUGCUCUAUUAGCACGCCAGGUGCAUGCGACGAUGAUGUGCAAAGAUGUGGACAGUCUGUGUGUCUAGAAAAAUUUGGCUGCAUGCAGACAGUUUUCACGAAUUGUACAGGUGACGGAAUUUGCAUCACGUGGACUGUGAGCGAGACUUAGCGGCACGCGGACAAUCGAAGUAUACUUUGCCGUGAAUCCUUUUGGAAGCACUCUAGUUAACUAUGCUGUGACUUUACGAGUCUGUACGAAGCCUGCUUGAAAACAGCAUUUUGUGGCAUUCUACACAUUGUUCCCUUGUUGCCUUUUUAUUUAUUUUUCUCAAAAGAUUUUGCCAAUUAUGAAACGGUGAAAUGACCGGUAGUGCCGCCAUCUGCCAAAGUAGCCCGUUUCCCCAAUAUAAACGGCUUUUGCCAAUCACGGGUUUGCUUUAACUUACGUGCGUCCCUUUUCCAUCUCAGAUGUUAUACUUCAGGAAAUCGCGUUUUCUUCAGGUUACCGUGGGAGGAAUAUCACUUCGUCAACCAGGAACGUAUGGAUGGUUCUUUAAUUGUAGAGUUUCCAAUUGGCUCAGACGAUGUAGCAAGCAAUAUCUCCAGCAAUAGUUUGUAUUUGGGGCAUUGAUAUCGAACUUCAGGUGACCUACCAGAAUCAUUUGUUUUAUAUCAUAGUCGUGCUGUUUCAAUGAACAUUAACCAUAUGUAGCCAAAUUCCUUGCAUUUCUUCAUCUGCAAGAGUGUAACCAAAGGCUUUAUUAUUUCUCAGCAUUACUUUACGGUGAUUGUACUUGGGUUUUACCUUAAAAGCCUGUUUCGAGGCUUUCAUUAUUUAGAAAAGCAGAACUUCUCAGCCUUGUCAGGUUUCAUCCUCUGCAACAUGGUCAUUUUCUGUUGCCGUGCUGCGAGUAUGAGACUUAUGAGGCAUCGCCGAUCCCGAUUGUUUUGGUUGAUUUUAUGCAUCAUAUUGUGGGCGGUCCACCUGCAUUUUAAGCGAGCUGUUUUAAUUACCGUAACGGUUUAAUCUUUUGGAGAGGUUUUUAAUCGGAUUGAUUGUUGAGUGGCAGUUUUUGGAUGGUGAGUGACGUGAUUUAUGCAAUACACUUCUACAGUUAAUUAUGCACUAAAACAGUCCAGUAUUUCUCAAGUAUGUCGUCUUUUCUGCUGUUGUGCCAAUCAAACCAGAUAUCAGCCUUGAGAUCUAAUAAGAAAGUAUUCUUUGCAUAAAUGCAGCCUGUUUAAAGACCAUUCAUAUUUAUUUUUGACAGUAUUGUGACAUUAUUUACAUGAGCAUUGAGCACAUUUAUCCCCUAAAUAUAUUACCAUAAUAAUACAAAUAAUGAUGUCAUUCUCAUCACUGUAAUGGAUCCAGAUGCUUUACUUUUGAGUUUUCAUACGGUAUAAAAAACAAUAACUAUUACAGGACAAAAAAAUACUACAAUGAUUUUUGUUAUUAUUAUUAGUCAAAAGACUGCCGUGAAAUAUAUAUAUAUAUAUAUAAAAUUCUCAUCACUAUAGUUACAAUAAAAAUUAACAAUAAUAAUAUUUAUGCAGCCAUAUCACCCUGCAGCUCUUGACUGGUUGCCCACUAAAGCUAAGCAGGGUUGAGCCUGGCCAGUACCUGGAUGGGAGACCUCCUGGGGAAAUCCAAGGUUGCUGCUGGUGGUAUUAGGGAGGCCAGCAGGGGGUGCUCACCCUAUGGUCUGUGUGGAUCCUAAUGCCCCAGAAUAGUGAUGGGGACACUAUAAUGUAAAAAGGCACUGUCCUUCGGAUGAGAUGUUAAACCGAGGUCCUGACUCUCUGUGGUCAUUAAAAAUCCCAGGACACUUCUCGUAAAGAGUAGGGGUGUAACCCCGGUGUCCUGGCCAAAUUCCCCCCAUUGGCCCCUAUCUACCAUGGCCUUGUAUUAAUCUCCAUCCCUGAAUUGGCUACAUCACUCUACUCUCUCCUCUCCACCAAUAGCUGGUGUGGUGGGUGUUCUGGCGCACUAUGGCUGCCGUCGCAUCAUCCCUAUAUAAAUAGCGCUAUAUAAAUGUAAGGAAUUAAUAAAAAAAAAAUUUAUAUAUAUAAGUGUAAAAUUCUCAUCACUACAGUUACAAUAAAAAUAAUUAAAAAAUAUAUAUAUAUUUUUUUGUAACUGUAGUGAUGAGAAUUUUAUAUUAAUGUAUAUAUUUUUAAUUAUUUUAAUUAUUAUUUUCAUUAUAUUUUAUUGUAACUGUAGUGAUGAGAAUUUUAUAUUAAUAUAUAUAUAUAUAUUUUAAUUAUUUUAAUUAUUAUUUUCAUUAUAUUUUAUUGUAACUGUAGUGAUGAGAAUUUUAUAUUAAUAUAUAUAUAUAUAUAUAUUUUUAAUUAUUUUAAUUAUUAUUUUCAUUAUAUUUUAUUGUAACUGUAGUGAUGAGAGUUUUGUGAGUAACUGCACUUAUUUUCCAUGAAAAUAAUGACAAAAUGCAAAAUAAAUGCAUUAAAAAUAAAACGGUAAUAACAUCUUAAUGGUCCUAAAAAAAAGUCUUGAUUUGAGCUUUUUAACACCGGUGUGUUUUCAUUGCGCUUGCAUCGCUCCAAACGUUUCCUUCAGUUUCCGUCGGCGCCGUGCAGCUGCAUUUGGUUGCAUAUGAGUGCAAAGAUGUGGAGAUAUUCAUAUUAAAUAUCAGGAACAUGUUCGGGGGAUUCUGAUGUGCCUGUGUUUUCUUACGAUUACAGAAGCAACCGCUGCCGUUUUCAUCAUGUUUCUCUCUCUUCCAUCUCUCAGUUUCUGUAUCUUGCAGAAAAAGAUCUAUAAAAUAAAUGAAUAAAUAUAUAUCUAUAUAUGAAACUGUAAAAGUGACCAGCUGUAACUCUGGAUGCAAUCUAUGAUCCAGGAUUUCAGGAAGCCGAUACCUCACGUGAAACUGUUGUUUAUCUGGACAGAGAAUACAUACACGAUCAUAACACAAACCUCUUUUAUAUCGCUGUGACGUGUGUGUGAUGAACUCCUUGACAACCUGACGACCUCUCGACUUUCUUGGCACCCUACAGAUGUUAAACGAAAUAUACAAAGAAAUAAACAAGUGUCCCGAACUGAAACAACUGGAGGAAAUAUAACCAUGAAUCAGCUUAGGAAAGCUUAAAGGAAUAUUCCGGGUUCAAUCGACAACAUUUGUGACAGUGUUGAUCACCACGAAAAUACUUUUAGAUCGUCCCUCCAUUUCUGUAAAAUAAGCACAAAUGUGUGUUCCAGUGAGUCACUUCCAAUGCAAGUCAAUGGGGUUUAAUCUGUCAACAUUAAAAUACUCACUGAUUCAAAAGACAUGAACAAUAACAUGAUUUUACUGUCAUUAAAUCACUUAAUAACCACAUCUGUGGACAGAUAUAGACAAUUAUACAACUCCGUUGCCAUGACGACGGAACACUGUAAACCCUUAAAACAACGUCACAGCUCAAACAAUCCACAAGUUUUAACCGAUGAAUGAAUGUAAGUGCUUUUAUAACAUUAGAAGCGUCACGUCUCUUCCAAAAAUGGUCCCCGUUGACUUCCAUUGCGACAAAUGCUGUCGAUUGAGCUCAACUUGUAUUGCACCCGGAAUAUUCCUUUAAAGUAAUGUUGGUAGUUUGCAACUCACCCAACAAAUCAACAGGUCUAUGAAACACUUUUAUUCUGUAUUUUCUUUAUUUUGGUACAGGUUGCAUCGAGUUAUCUGUUGAAAUAUUACAGGUGACAAAAAUGCAUGAGCCCCAUAAUCUUAAUUCUGGGAAUAAAUGAUGUUAACCAUGUCCAGAUCUGCUAAAUUACCUUUUUAUAUUUCUGCAAAAGCAAAGUGGAAGUUAUGAAAGUGUUGAUUUUGGAGUCAGUGUUUGUUUGGACUGUGAUGGAGAUGUAAAUAAUGCUGUAGUUUCGGGUCUCGUCCGUGUUGCCGUUCUGUAUAAUUCAGGUGCUUUACAUCAUCAGUGCUGGAGAAUAUGGGGGAUGUUCACUCACACGUGUUAUCAAGGGGUUUGAAAUGCUGUUUCUUUACCAGAAUAUGUGAAAUGUACAUGUUGUAGGUUCUCUUUCACUAUUGUAGCUAAAACUGUAGAUCAGACUUGAUUUUACUACUGAUUUUAACAUAAAUAUACUAAAUAAUCUGUAUAAGACGAGAUGUAUACGGAGAGUUUGUUGCUGUAAAAUCCCUCGUUUGGACCGUAUGUUAAAGUUUUGGAUCAUAUGCCCUGGUCAAAUCCACAUCCAUCGUAUUGCCGUCAUGAACGGAGGAUUUUCUCGAGCGUUCAUUGUAACAUAGUUCUUUAAUUUGCAGUGGAUCAUUGUUGAUUUUUACUGUGGUGAUUUUAGCGCUCAGUAUUCCGAGUUUGGAUUAGAGUUGUGUAGAUGUCGGGAUGUGGCUGUUUCUGCUCCGCACUGGUGCCGGAAUAAACCAGUAUGAAUGUAGUAUUUGCCCAGUGUGAAACAGCCACACCACGACUGCUAUAGAAAAACUAACUAGAAAGAUUAUUUCAAUUUUAUCUUUUUGUAUAUGAAAGUAAACAAUAAAAACUGAUAAAG